rnacentral:rRNA from 1 species
GGAUGCCAUCAUACGACCACCAAAGCACCGGAUCCCAUUAGAACUCCGAAGUUAAGCGUGCUUGGGCGACCAUAGUACUAGGAUGCGUGACCUCCUGGGAAGUCCUCGUGUUACUUUUC